UCGCCCCAGGUGGCUCCUAGCGUGAGGUUUGGACUCACAAGGACAAGCAGGCGCCUCCGGCCCAGCUGGGGCACCUGCUUCGUGGUUAGGGCCUGAGAAUUAAACGCUACUGCAUGCAAACCCACAGGCAGGCUUAAAUAUCCCAUGGCUUCUCUUCUAGGGGAAAGUCAAAGCAUAAAUAAUUGAAAGAGCAAAAUCAAAGUACAUUAUGGCAAUAGGAAGAUCUUUUGCAAAUGAGAAGAGGGGAUCAUGUGAUGGGGUGGAGGGGGGAGGGAAGAAGGAAGAGGGGAAAAUAAAAAAGAAUUAAGAUGCAUUAUGUGCAGGUACCAACACUUCACGAUCAUUGUAAUUAUUAUGUAUUGCAGACAUGUACUAACAAAAUCUUGAAAAAAUUUUAAAAAGAAAAAUAUGGCGAAAGUUACAUAAAGAAAAUGAGGAAUCCUCUCAAAAAGAAACAGGCUAACACUGAGGAUUGGAAAUUUAUGGCCAACAACUGUUUCUCAAAAUCUGUGCUGGGAAGGUCCAAAGGUCAGCGGUGGAAGCCAGAAAGUCUAUGCCAGCAGGGUUAAGGAGCUGUGCUGGUAUGUUGAGGGUUCUAUGCUGAAGCCGAGAAGUCACACUCAAAACAAAGACCAGGGCUGUCCUGAAAAGCACCACAGCCAUCCUCAGCAACACGGAAGCCCCGAGCUCCUCCAACGACAAGGACAAGCAUAGUCGAGUGCCUGCCAGGGAGCCAGCGUGAAGAGUUCAUCCUGGAGACCAAGCACACAUCUUCCCUGUCAGAGCCAGGAAGCAAUGCAAGAUGUGAGGGUCAGAGCUUCUCCAGGAGAACCAAUGGCUCAAACAGCCACACAUAGGAGAACUCACAAUGCCUCAACGCCUCAGCGCCUCGACUCAGUGACGUAUUAAUGCCUGCCUUCUUCUCCACCUCUCUAUUUUUGCUGGCAACUUUCCUCAGGUGGAGCAUCUAUGCUCAGUGCCAUGCUGAUGUAAUCCAGCUGGCAUUAAAUUGAUCACCAGCUCUUAAUCCGUAACACUCCUCUUUCCUUCUCUUCCCCCGCCUCACUUUCUUGCUUUCUUGUUUCUUUCCAAAAUGUUAUUUUCCCAAUUAUAGUCUAUCUCAUUCAUGAAAUUUCAAGGUGGGAAGAACUUGAAGGUUCUAGACCAAUCACUCACCCUUCCAAAAAUCUUCAUAAAUGGCCAUACAGGGUCUGCUAGGAUAUUUUAGCAAUAAAAAUUACUUUAUCAAGCAACUCAUAUAUUACUUUUGAGAAAAUUCUUCAUUGCUUUGUGCCAGGAUCUGUCUAUGUCUCUGAGAUUCUAUGUAUCUGAAAUUCUGUUUAUCUAUUUCUAUCUAUCUCUGUAUCAUCUAUCUAAAUUCUUUCUUCUUUACUUUUUAAGAAAAAAAUAUUAAAGGUCACCUCUUGAAUUGUUCAACUGUUAUUUUCUAACAACAGGGGUUCUCCUCACCAAAUCCCUGUUCUUGCUAAACAAUUCCUUUUUUUUCCUGUUAUUCUUCAUCUAUUACUAUUAAUUUUAUAACUUUCUUUUCCUUUGAGCAUAUUCCAAUACCUCAAGAGUCGCACUCAAGCGUGGAACACUUGGUUUGGGAUUCGAGUAGUACAAAACAAAAUAUUAAUACCACACCAACUUAUUUAUAUAACUGUCUAGAAUGACUUUUUGGCUGUUUCAUCUCAUUUCUCAUUCAAAUUAAUGCCACUACAAAUAAAAACCUCUAAGCCUUCUCUGUUUUGGUUCGGUCACUUUGUUAAUAUGACAUAAUCCAUGACUUGAUCUUAAGAGGGUGACUGACUACAUUAUUCCUAUUAAAUUCAUCAUCAUUUGAGUUAUUUUUGACACUAUUUUCAGUGCAUUAUUUUACUGUUAGUGUUUUGUUUAACCUUUGUUUAAACCUUUGUCCAUAUUAACUGACAAAAUGUUGAAUAUGGCAGAAUUGAGAUCAGGGUUAUAAAACAUCCCUAUUAAUCGCCAUAAAUGCUUCUAUAUGUUUGAUUUUAAAUUUAUAGCUCUAUGUUGUGUCUGUUUCCAAACUUCAGAUAAAUAUAAUAAAUAUAUCCUGCUGACAUA